UCUUCCCUUUGUAUGGUCGGGUGUCCAUGAGUGGCCGCGACACGCGCUCGUGGCCGGUUCCUCAAGGCUGGGCUCACUCUAAGGAUUUUCUCUGCUCACUCGGCUGUGCUUCUCUCUAGGGAGCUCUGCCUUAAGGGGAUUGGAGUUUGCAAAUGGAAGGAUUUAAACCCCAACGCUGGAUCCUGGUUCUCCAAAUGAACCGGCUGAUAGCGCGACAGACGUGACAGGUCCUCUUUGGCGCCCCCUGUGUCCUCCACCUCUGUUUGCUGUCCCUUUCUGCUCCCGGUCUCCACCCCUGCAGACCCCACUGAACAGUUUCAUCUCGAGGAACCUCCAGCCCGAAGUGAGUACAGGUCUGUAGGCUGAGUUUCAGCCAUUUCUUUCUGAUCGCAGGUUCCUGUUUAAUGCGAUGGUCCAACCGAGGCUGCGGCCAAAUCCCAGCUCUCCCCUGACACAAGGGCGGGUAACCACGCCUUGACAAGUCUUGGCUCCCGCUCCAUCGCAUGAGAUCGCCAAGCACUCUUGCUUGCUGCAGGAUGCACAAGAACGAAGACUUUAGACAAGGUGCCCCGUGUGCCCUUCAAAGGAACACUCCAGGAGUCUUCUGGGGUCGGGCCUCCCCUCUCUGGCAGCCCGUCCACAGACAGAUGGGGGAAGAGGGAGGCAAAAGGCAACUAAGCUGACAAAGAGGUGCAAACCCUGCAACGGAACGCAGAUGCAAGUAAUGUAUUUGCAGCGGAUCCCAGGAGACACUGCGGGGGAGGGGAAAGGGGGCCAGGAAAGGGAGCAUUAUAGAGCCACUCCUGCAGAAGCGUCAACCCCCGGUCUGGCCUGCUGACCCUCCUCCUUCAUGUCCCAUGCUGCCUUUCUGGGUCUCAUCCGCGACAUCUGAUGCUGACUGACGCAGCCGUUCCCACUUCUCCUUUCCUGUCUCAACCUCAACAUCCCGAAAUCUUAUGUUCUGUUUGACCGGGACGCCGUAAGGCCAGGCUCCUUGCCUGCGUGGAGCCUGCGCGUCAUUGAGCUGCCCUCUUGUGCUGGGUCGUGUCCCGUCGUGAAUGAGGAUGUUGGGCACGACCAUGACCCAGGACAGACGAGAAGCCACCCUGCCUGGAUCACCCAAGAGGCCACCUCCUCCAUGCAGCCCUUCCCACUCCAUUCUCUGCAGCCAGAAAUCAUCCGGGAGAGGCAGGUGCGGGGGCUCUGAGGGGCUUAUGGGUUUUUUUUUUUGUUUUGUUUUGCUUUGUUUUGUGUUUUGCAGGGGUGGGGCUCGGGCGUGAGCAAAAGCUGCCGAGCGUCUUAAGGCCUGGCCUCAGAAGUCACCUCGUGUCACCUCUGCUGCGUUGUGAGGGUCGAAGCACGUCACCGAGCCCAGCCACAGCCAAGGAGUCGGGAGAUAGGACACGUUGGUUUAGUUGGAGUGGUGCAGUCACGCUGUGGAAGACCGUGUGCCCCAGGAUGGGGUGGGGGUGGGGGCCUUGAAACUGUAUUUUACCCUCCACCGAAGUACAGGUCUCCUCCAGUCUCUGGCCAAGGGCUUCCUUGAACCCUCUCCCCCAUGGCCAUGUCUUCCGUGCUCCUCGGCCACUCACACCCGUGACCCUAACUCCCGGAUCUCACCGUCAGAGCAACCACGGCCUCUCAUACCUUGGCUCCCGGCACCCCAGCCUCUGACCCCACUCCCACCUCUCCUGCCAUUCGGCACCAACAGGUCCCUGACCCCAGUGGGGCUGUGGCUCUCAGGCUCUUUUCUGACCUCGUGGUGUCCACCCAGCAAAAUCCGGCCUAGGGCACAGCCAGCCCCACGCCCGCACCCACGAAGUUGAAUGCGGCUGGAGGGAACCCCGCAGGCGUCCUGCGAGAACUGAGUUGUAACCCACCGUGGGAAGGCGGGGAGGAACGAAGAGGCGAUAACAACCCUUCAGACCUCAGAUCCGAGCCGUGGACGGAUCUCAGGCGUGCGGACCUCUCCCCUCCUCCUUCUAGCCCGAGAGCCGAAUCCGGGCACUGGCUCGCGCUGGCUCUUCCCUCCCACCGCAUUCACCACACGUCCACGAAGUGCCCCCGAUCUCGGUCGCGCACCGGGCAGUUACGGGGCUCAGCGGAGCUAGGCAGGGCCCGGAACCAGCGCGAACUCCAGGGGUGGUCUGGGGGCUGGCCGCACCCGCAUCACGUGGGAGCUCGUUGAGAAGAAAGGUUCUCAGGGCCUCACCCCGGACCUGCAGAAUCAGAAUCCCCGGGGGCGGGUGUCGGACCCAGAAGCUGUGUUUGGGGCAAGCCCUCUGGUGACUCUUAUUUAUGCUGGAGUUUGAGGAUCCUGUCGAGACACUUGCCGAUUAGUGUGUGACACCAAGCCCCGGGCGCUCGUCCAAAACGGCAGGCCCUGGGACCUCACCGCGGGCCCCCUGAAAGAGAAACUGCGUUUUCAUCGGGGCCCCCCAGGGAUCUGUCACAGGCCCAGGGGCUGGAGGUGGCCGAAGGACGCGUCCCAGGGCGUAGACGCUCAGGAAGCCUCGGGUGACUGGUUGUCGCACAGAAGGAGCACCCUCGCCGGUCUGCACAGAUAGGUUCCACUUCCCGGGCCCACGCUGAGGCUCAGCGGGGACGCCCUGGGGCCUGACCUCGCAUCUGGUCCCUACGCUGUAUUAGCGAGGCUGAGGGAGAGUCGCGCCUGCCCGUCGCCGGUGGGGGUAGAAAUCCGGUCCCCCUCCCCGGAGGGCUCUUUGGCCAUGUCUGCCGCGCCCCAGGCUGGACGGACGGAGCAAAGGCCGUGUGCCCUGGAUGCCGCCAGCAGGAAGGCCCUGGUGGGGAAGGUACGAUGUCUCUGGAAGGAAGCAGGAUGAACGGCUAAUAUUCCUGGUCCCUGGGGAGGGAAGCAGAUGCCCCUGGGGGAGACACCAAGCCCGAGUUUUCACUGUCUGUUACUUUGUACCGCUUGGCUUUUGUACCAAGUACAACUGUUAUCCGCCUGGUGGUUUUCUUUCCUUUUUUUUUCAAUAUAUGAAAUUUAUUGUCAAAUUGGUUUCCAUACAACACCCAGUGCUCAUCCCAAAAGGUGCCUUCCUCAAUACCCAUCACCCACCCUCCCCUCCCUCCCACCCCCCAUCAACCCUCAGUUUGUUCUCAGUCGCCUGGCGGUUUUCAAAAUGGGGUCCAAGGGGUCUCCCACACCCAUGCCAGGGGUCCCUGACGUCUUCCCUUUUCCAGCUAUGUCCCCGUGUGCGGCUGGUUUUCCUUCGCAGACUUCAGCCAAAACGAUCACAACAGA